AAUGCUUUUAUGAUGACAGUUGAGCUGUGAUUGGGAAAAUGUACUUAAGCAUUGGCAGUAGACACUAACUUUAAUAGCCUGUCAAACAUCCUUUGUGAGAAGAUGGGGAAUUUUGAAAGAUGAAGGAAGAUGUUCAUAUUUCCAUGAAUUGAAGGCAUGAUUACAGUAAUUAUAGAACUUGCUCUGCAGUUUCAUACUUGUGUUAUUUAAAUGGAGAAAAAGCAGUAUGCUUACAAGAAAAGCUCUGACUUGGGAACAAGAUGUGAAUAUUUAUUAAAGCAAAGAAAUGCAUGAUAUUAUGAUUAAUGUUCUUCAUUAGCCUGUCAUGUUGGCUGCAGUAUUUAAUGAAUGGGCAUGUUUAGUUAUUUUAGAAGCUCGGCUUCAGUUAAAUGUGUUUAGUAAUUAAGUUAUUAAUCGUUCUUUUUGCACACAAUGAACCAUAAGGACCAUCUGAUUAUUUUAAGUCUUAUCCCUCAAAAGGACUAUUUCAUUUUUAUAUGUUAGGGAUGUUAUUAUGAAAUGUAAUUUAUGUAUUUUAGUUCAUUUAUGAGUUUUGAAUUUUUUUAUAAGUUCUGUUUGUUUUUGUCAAAUAAAUAUAAAGAAUAAACCAUAUAAUGGCACAGUAGGCACCCAUUUAGUAUACAUGAACUUUUGCUACAUUUAUGAUAAUAUGACAACUAUUUAAUAAACACCCAAAAGCAAAACA